ACAGCGCAGGCCUGCGGUGCCCUCUGGACAUGUACAGGUGUUGUGAGGACUGCAUGUGGCCCCGUGUUGGCAGGGCGGCACGCAGGGGGUGGUCACCGCUGCAGACACACCACACAGCAAGAGUCUUAAUGCAAAGUGAAGACAGCGUCCCUGCAGUUCCUGCUUGUACAGAAGUGGGGCAGUCUUUGUUAAGAGGUGAUGUACCUGUGUGGCAGCCUGCUCCGGUCCAACCAGGACGACACAGACACUUGUUCCAGCGCAUACAGGGCUGAGUGGCCAGGGGAGCUUGGCUGUGUGCACACAAGCUUAUCAUCCAAGAAAAUGUGGCCACAGCUGAACCGUUCAGGGUCAUCAAAACUCAACAGUGAAGGUGGCAAUGAAGAGGACAGAAAAUCCAAUC